CCCUUAGAUGUUCUGGGCUGCACGCGCGCUACAAUGGCGUUUUCAAAAAGAUUGCUAAUCCGAAAGGACCAGCGGAUCUUCGAAGUGGCGUCGUGAUCGGGACAGUUGAUUGCAAUUAUUCGACUCGAACGAGGAAUUCCUUGUAAUCGUGCGUCAUCAGCGCACGCUGAAUACGUCCCUGUUCUUUGUACACACCGCCCGUCGCUACUACCGAUUGAACGGUUUAGUGAGGGCCUCGGAUUGGUCUCGGCCCGCUCUUUACCGGGCGGCGCCGUUGGUCGAGAAGACGCUCGAACUUGAUCGUUUAGAGGAAGUAAAAGUCGUAACA
rnacentral:rRNA from 1 species